GGAAGUGGUCACGGAACUCGGCUGCGGCUCCAUGGUCUGAGUUGUCAGCCGUUGUUUUUUCGUGCUCGCUAGUCGCCGCCGCCGCGCCGCCAUGGGGAAGCGACAGCACCAAAAGGACAAAAUGUACAUUACCUGUGCUGAAUACACUCACUUUUAUGGUGGCAAGAAGCCAGGUAAGGCAUGCAGUCUUUCUGUUCCCCGUUGGGGGAGUGGUAUUAAGGAACUGUGUCUUCAGGAUACAGUGAGCUGUAAAAAUAGACAACAAGAACACGGAAACUAUGGUAGACAAAUGGGCUGAGGACACAGUUCAUGAAAGAGAAAUAUACUCAAGAUAGAAGAACCUGCUUCAUCUUAGUGGUGAUUUUUGUAAAAUGUAAUUUAAAAUAUUCCCCGAUGCUGGGAGCUAAGUAAAAAAUAAAUAAGUAAAUAAAAUACAAAAUUACAUGUACAUUUAAAUGUUUUUUCUCUAUCAAGUUUAUAAGGAAUAAAAAGAA
rnacentral:sRNA from 1 species